rnacentral:rRNA from 1 species
UACAGAGGGGGCGAGCGUUGUUCGGAAUUACUGGGCGUAAAGGGCGCGUAGGCGGCCAACUAAGUCAGACGUGAAAUCCCUCGGCUCAACCGGGGAACUGCGCCUGAUACUGGAUGGCUUGAAUUCGGGAGAGGGAUGCGGAAUUCCAGGUGUAGCGGUGAAAUGCGUAGAUAUCUGGAGGAACACCGGUGGCGAAGGCGGCAUCCUGGACCGAGAUUGACGCUGAUGCGCGAAAGCCAGGGGAGCAAACGGG